UCCAAAACCGAGGGGGUGGGGGUUUUUGAAGGCAGGGGGGAGGGCUGGAGGGGGGAAAGGGGGAAGAUUCCCCAAGAACAAAAGGGGGGGAAGAAAAAAAAAAAAAAGGAAGGAGGGGGGGGGGGGGACCCCAAAAAAAAAAAAAAAAAAAAAAAAAACCCCCACAAACUCCCUUUUUUUAAACCAACAAAAAAAAAAAAAAAAAAAAAAAAAAAAUUUUUUAUAUUAAAAAAAAAAAAAAAAAAACCACCCCCCCCACAAAAAAAAAAAAAAAACAUAACUAAAAAAAACAACCCCCCCCCUUUGUUAGGUAAAAAAAAAAACCAUCGAUUUAGUUUAACAAAAAAAAAAAAAAAAAAAAAAAAAAAAAAAAAAUUUUUUUUUUUUUUUUUAAUUAUAAAAAAAAAAAAAAAAAAAAAAAAAAUAACAGUCUGUGUCCAUCUGUGUCAAACUCUUCCUCACAGGCGGACAGCGUGGCAGCUUUUGGAGGAGGCGCCCGAGGAAACUGCUACAGCUUGGAGACAAGUGCAAUGAUCUCCUCGGAUCGAAAUGCUUUCCCCACUUUUCUUGAGGAAGAGUGGAUGAAGUGGGGGGGGUAUUUCCAGCAGCAGAGGAACAAGCCUGUGUUGGUAACAAACAACACAGAACGAAACAAACCUGUGGCAUGCGCGGAGAAGUUGUCCAGGAAGGUGCAGUGAGUCACCUUGUCGCCCACAACGGGCUAUUAGCGGCUUCGUUUCCAUGUCAACUGGGUGGUUUGUGUAGUUUAAGUGGAGCGUAAGAAAGGUGCACGACGGAGAGGUGAGAGUGAGAAGGAGUGUGGAGUUACUGUGUCAAUGAAGUAAAUGAAGUGUUGUGGCGGCACUGAUUCAGACUCAGGUCUCAGAGAACCACAAAAUCCACACGGAGAACAAAACUCACAACUUUCUUCGUCUUAACUAACAAACUAAUUCAUCUUCAAAAGGUAAAAAAUGUGUACAGGGCUUUUUUAAUGAAAAUAAACCAAUGAAACAAAAAUAAUUGUAACUCUUAACUUCCACCGUGAUGGUUUGGUGGCGGCUUUCUGGCUCCACCCAGAGCGUUUGAGAGGCAGAGUGCGUUGUCCGCCGUAUGUGGUUUACUUGUGUCCUUAAAAAAAGGAAACAAAAGUGUGUUUCUCCACUUAAAAUCUCCUCUAACUGACUGACCUCUGGUCUGGUGCCACAAUGUUGAUCUAGUGUGAAUCUAAUCUAAGGAUUAAAGAUUUUAAAUUCAAAUGUAAUAACUGUUGUAUUAAUAAAAGUAAGGAAAUGUAUUCAGAAGUUGUUUUGUUUUGGUGUUUUCUAACGUGUCUUGUAGUAUUAUCCAUGGGUUUUAUUGCUAACUGAAGGGCCGUGGCCGUCUGUGAGCAUAUCAAAGUACAGGAAAGGAGUCGAAGUUGAGGCUCGCUCAACUCAACUGUGAUUGGAGCACACAGCAAAGAGUGGGCGGGGCUUAGGAGGGGUCAGUUGAUGAAGACGGCUUUAAAUGACGUAAACUGAGAUAAAGACCAUCAGGAUUUAUAAAGCACCUUUAAUACGGAAGAUAAAUAAAUUGGUCACAGCACAGUCAAACAUUAUUCAUCAGGAGGAGUCAGCAGCCAGAAAACACCCGACAUCAGCAACAAUUAAAUGAAAAAAACAUCACAAACUCCCUCGUCGUUUUACAUGAGUGCACCUGCCCGUGUGCGUGUGCGUGAACCAGCGAGUGGAUUUAUGGGUCAGGAGGUUUUGUGUUGGUGGCAGUGAGGAGGAAACAUCUUCAGGAGAGUGAAAUCAGGCUUUCUGUGCCUCGUCCGUGGUCAGGGAGGCCGAGGAGACGUUUUCACACGACCCAACAGUCUGUUUCUCAGCAUGCUGCAUUAAGUCCUGUUAAAUAUUUAGCUGCCUCGAAACAGCCAGAAUGGAUGUGUACAGUCCUCAGUGGAUUUCUGACCUCUUCUGGCCCAGCGAGCUCUGUCAGAGCGCCGGCUGCUGUUCCUUUACUGGGAUUAAUUAAACAGUCCCAAUUAAACGCCUGUAAAGAUGCAGAUGUAAUAAUAAUCCCAGACCAGGUUUUAAACCAGAUUGUCACAAUUAAAUUAAAUUGGCACAGUUUGUUAAAGUUCAGUCCAAAAAUACUCGUCAGCAUGAAUCACGAGCUGGUGGAGUUAUGAGGAAGAGCUUCACAUCACAGAUAAAACAGACAAACACAUUUAUUUACACAGAUCCAGAAUCCAGACUUAAAAUCAGACUGAAAAGGUUUUUUUUUCUUUUUGCAUUUUGGUUUCAGAUUUAUCAAAGCAGCACAAUCAUUGUUGCAGUUAAAGGUUUUUUAGUGAGUUUCUUGGCCGCGGUAGUUUCUCCUGCACACUUAACAGCCUGUUCUCAUUCCCAGGUACGUCAAAUACAGACGCGAGCAGUGUUCAGUUAGUUGCAAUCUGCAGCUUCACCACUAGAUGCAGCUAAAUCCUAAAUAAAAUAAAAUAAAAACAUAGGAAAUGUCUUCAGUUUUGCCUUUUUGCUCACAUUCGUACAUAAACAGCUGCUCGGGUUUGAUAUUUGUUCAUGUUUCUGAUGUAAAACAGACUAAACUAAAUCUGUAGGAGUGUUGUGUGUGUGUGUGUGUGUGUGUGUGUGUGUGUCUGAUUGCUAACGAUGAUAUUAGAAGAAUAUAACUUGAGGUUGUGCUUCAUGUUCUGGUUUCAGGUGUCCAACCUGCUGCGGGGCUCUGGAGGACACUCUCAGUAAAGAGUCCCUCUGACGUCACCACGAGGCGAACAUUAAAGAGCCUCAUUAGAGAGAGCGGAUCUCACCGAGGCGUGGCCUUUAGGGGACCCAGAGUCCAGGAUGAACCCACUGUUAUAAAACCCUGUCUCAUUAUAAACCGUUCCUGAACUUUAAUCUGAGCCGUAAUUCAGAGAGUAAAGUGGAUUUUAUUCUGAGGGAUCGUCUCUUUAUUGAACUCUAUCCAUGAACAGGCUCUGAACUGGGAACCAGUCGCAGCAGAGCGACGUGCUGC
rnacentral:lncRNA from 1 species